GAUGAACGCUGGCGGUAUGCCUAACACAUGCAAGUCGUACGAGAGUUUUUAACUCUAGUGGCGGACGGGUGAGUAACACGUGAGAAUUUGCCUUUAGGAGGGGGAUAACAAUUGGAAACGAAUGCUAAUACCCCAUAUGCUUUCGAGUGAAAUGGAUUUAUAUUUAUCCGCCUAGAGAGAAGCUCGCGGCUGAUUAGCUUGUUGGUAAGGUAAGAGCUUACCAAGGCGACGAUCAGUAUCUGGUUUGAGAGGACGAUCAGACACACUGGAACUGAGACACGGUCCAGACUCCUACGGGAGGCAGCAGUGGGGAAUUUUCCGCAAUGGGCGAAAGCCUGACGGAGCAAUACCGCGUGAGGGAAGACUGCCUAUGGGUUGUAAACCUCUUUUUUCAGGGAGGAAUAAAAUGAC
rnacentral:rRNA from 1 species